GUAAGUGUGGGGUCGGCGGCCCGGGUAAUACGUAGGGGUCAAGCGGUACUCGUAAGUAGUGGGCGUAAAGCUUGCGUAGGUGGUUGGGUAAGGCUGUCGUGAAAGCCCGGGGCUCAACCGGGGAACGGCGAUGGAAACUGGGCGACUAGAGUGUGGUAGAGGGUAGCGGAAUUCCUGGGGUAGCAGUGAAAUGCGUAGAUAUCAGGAGGAACAUCCAUGGCGAAGGCAGCUACCUGGGCCAACACUGACACUGAGGCACGAAAGCGUGGGGAGCAAACAGGAUUAGAUACCCCUGUAGUC
rnacentral:rRNA from 1 species